GAUUGAACGCUGGCGGCAGGCCUAACACAUGCAAGUCGAGCGGAUGAAGGGAGCUUGCUCCUGGAUUCAGCGGCGGACGGGUGAGUAAUGCCUAGGAAUCUGCCUGGUAGUGGGGGAUAACGUCCGGAAACGGGCGCUAAUACCGCAUACGUCCUGAGGGAGAAAGUGGGGGAUCUUCGGACCUCACGCUACCAGAUGAGCCUAGGUCGGAUUAGCUAGUUGGUGGGGUAAAGGCCUACCAAGGCGACGAUCCGUAACUGGUCUGAGAGGAUGAUCAGUCACACUGGAACUGAGACACGGUCCAGACUCCUACGGGAGGCAGCAGUGGGGAAUAUUGGACAAUGGGCGAAAGCCUGAUCCAGCCAUGCCGCGUGUGUGAAGAAGGUCUUCGGAUUGUAAAGCACUUUAAGUUGGGAGGAAGGGCAGUAAGUUAAUACCUUGCUGUUUUGACGUUACCAACAGAAUAAGCACCGGCUAACUUCGUG
rnacentral:rRNA from 1 species